CCUCAGACAACAAAUUGAGUACGGGUACAUUCGUAAGGGGCAUUGAAUGCGGUACAUUUGCCCUUCAUGAAAUAAGUGCUAGCGUCAUUAGUAGAUCAAUCAUAGUCAAGGCGAAACACACGGGAAUGCAGGACAAGGAUGACAAUAGUCAUUUUGAUUUAUACAAAACAUUCGACGUUUUGGAAGAGUUCGACAUCGAAAAAGCCAUGGUUACAUUGCACUCUGAUGGUGUUUUAAAGAUUGAAGUUCCUAAGAUAACAGCAAACGAAUAAAUAGCAUGA
rnacentral:lncRNA from 1 species